rnacentral:rRNA from 1 species
UACGUAGGGUGCGAGCGUUAAUCGGAAUUACUGGGCGUAAAGCGUGUGUAGGCGGUUCGUUAAGUUCGUUGUGAAAGCCCCGGGCUCAACCUGGGAAUGGCAAUGGAAACUGGCGGGCUGGAGUAUGGCAGAGGGGGGUGGAAUUCCGCGUGUAGCAGUGAAAUGCGUAGAGAUGCGGAGGAACACCGAUGGCGAAGGCAGCCCCCUGGGCCAAUACUGACGCUCAGGCACGAAAGCGUGGGGAGCAAACAGG